rnacentral:rRNA from 1 species
ACAGCCAUACCACCCUGAAUGCACCCGAUCUUGUCUGAUCUCAGAAGCUAAGCAGGGUCGAGCAUGGCUAGUACUUGGAUGGGAGACUAUUCUCCAUUUUCUAAGAGCACUGUU